UCCAACCUGCCCACCACUUGGGGAUAACCUUGCGAAAGUAAGACUAAUACCCAAUGAUAUCUCUAGAAAGACAUCUGAAGAGAUUAAAGAUUUAUCGGUGAUGGAUGGGGAUGCGUCUGAUUAGCUUGUUGGCGGGGUAACGGCCCACCAAGGCGACGAUCAGUAGGGGUUCUGAGAGGAAGGUCCCCCACAUUGGAACUGAGACACGGUCCAAACUCCUACGGGAGGCAGCAGUGAGGAAUAUUGGUCAAUGGGCGAGAGCCUGAACCAGCCAAGUAGCGUGCAGGAUGACGGCCCUAUGGGUUGUAAACUGCUUUUAUAAGGGAAUAAAGUGAGUCUCGUGAGACUUUUUGCAUGUACCUUAUGAAUAAGGACCGGCUAAUUCCGUGCCAGCAGCCGCGGUAAUACGGAAGGUCCGGGCGUUAUCCGGAUUUAUUGGGUUUAAAGGGAGCGUAGGCCGGAGAUUAAGCGUGUUGUGAAAUGUAGACGCUCAACGUCUGCACUGCAGCGCGAACUGGUUUCCUUGAGUACGCACAAAGUGGGCGGAAUUCGUGGUGUAGCGGUGAAAUGCUUAGAUAUCACGAAGAACUCCGAUUGCGAAGGCAGCUCACUGGAGCGCAACUGACGCUGAAGCUCGAAAGUGCGGGUAUCGAACAGGAUUAGAUACCCUGGUAGUCCGCACGGUAAACGAUGGAUGCCCGCUGUUGGUCUGAAUAGGUCAGCGGCCAAGCGAAAGCAUUAAGCAUCCCACCUGGGGAGUA
rnacentral:rRNA from 1 species